rnacentral:rRNA from 1 species
GAGUGAACGCUGGCGGUAGGCCUAACACAUGCAAGUCGAGCGGCAGCACAGUAAGAGCUUGCUCUUACGGGUGGCGAGUGGCGGACGGGUGAGGAAUACAUCGGAAUCUACUUUUUCGUGGGGGAUAACGUAGGGAAACUUACGCUAAUACCGCAUACGACCUACGGGUGAAAGCAGGGGAUCUUCGGACCUUGCGCGAUUGAAUGAGCCGAUGUCGGAUUAGCUAGUUGGCGGGGUAAAGGCCCACCAAGGCGACGAUCCGUAGCUGGUCUGAGAGGAUGAUCAGCCACACUGGAACUGAGACACGGUCCAGACUCCUACGGGAGGCAGCAGUGGGGAAUAUUGGACAAUGGGCGCAAGCCUGAUCCAGCCAUACCGCGUGGGUGAAGAAGGCCUUCGGGUUGUAAAGCCCUUUUGUUGGGAAAGAAAAGCAGCAGGUUAAUACCCCGCUGUUCUGACGGUACCCAAAGAAUAAGCACCGGCUAACUUCGUG